rnacentral:rRNA from 1 species
UACAGAGGUCCCAAGCGUUGUUCGGAUUCACUGGGCGUAAAGGGUGCGUAGGUGGCAGGGUAAGUUUGAUGUGAAAUCUCCGGGCUUAACCCGGAAACUGCAUUGAAUACUAUCCUGCUCGAGGUUUGGAGGGGGGACUGGAAUUCUCGGUGUAGCAGUGAAAUGCGUAGAUAUCGAGAGGAACACCAGUGGCGAAGGCGAGUCCCUGGACAACACCUGACACUGAGGCACGAAAGCGUGGGGAGCAAACAGG